UACAGAGGGUGCAAGCGUUGUUCGGAAUUAUUGGGCGUAAAGCGUGCGUAGGUGGUUCUUUAAGUCGGAUGUGAAAGCCCUGGGCUCAACCUGGGAAUGGCAUUGGAUACUGGCGGGCUAGAGUGCGGUAGAGGGUAGUGGAAUUCCCGGUGUAGCAGUGAAAUGCGUAGAGAUCGGGAGGAACAUCUGUGGCGAAGGCGACUGCCUGGACCAGCACUGACACUGAGGCACGAAAGCGUGGGGAGCAAACAGG
rnacentral:rRNA from 1 species